rnacentral:lncRNA from 1 species
UACACUGGUGAGACCGUGUAGGACAUGCUCCAUAUUAAUUGGGGAUUUUCUUCUCUCUAGGCACUUAAACGCACUUCAGACAGCAGAGCAGAAGUUCCCAAAAAUAGACAAUGGGAAUGUCAUUCCUUUGCAAGCAGGAAUGUUCCAUCACCACCAGAACAUUACCACCAAGCUCCGCCAAACACAGCAUCUACAUCAGAUUUCAGCUGGGCAGAGAAGAGUCAUACACAUAUUUUAGACCAUCGAGCCACAUGCCAAAGCAAUGCUGUUCUCCUGGAACGAAGGGGACUAGCACUCCUGUGUUUCUACCAUUGUGCAGUAAAGGAUAACUCAGCAGAUCUGGGUUGUGCAAACCUUGAAAACCCCAAAGA